CGGGGGGAGCAAGCGUUGUUCGGAUUUACUGGGCGUAAAGGGCGUGUAGGCGGCCACCGCAAGUCAGUUGUGAAAGCUCUGGGCUUAACCCAGAAAGGUCAACUGAUACUGCGGGGCUAGAGUGCAGAAGGGGCAACUGGAAUUCUCGGUGUAGCGGUGAGAUGCGUAGAUAUCGAGAGGAACACCUGCGGCGAAGGCGGGUUGCUGGGCUGACACUGACGCUGAAACGCGAAAGCUAGGGGAGCGAACGGGAUUAGAUACCCCGGUAGUCCUAGCCUUAAACGAUGAAUGCUUGGUGUCUGGGGUUUUAUAGUCCCCGGGUGCCGUCGCUAACGCUUUAAGCAUUCCGCCUGGGGAGUACGGUCGCAAGACUG
rnacentral:rRNA from 1 species